rnacentral:rRNA from 1 species
GACGAACGCUGGCGGCGCGCCUAACACAUGCAGGUCGAACGAGCGAGAGAGAGCUUGCUUUCUUGAGCGAGUGGCGAACGGGUGAGUAACGCGUGAGGAACCUGCCUCAAAGAGGGGGACAACAGUUGGAAACGACUGCUAAUACCGCAUAAGCCCACGACCCGGCAUCGGGUUGAGGGAAAAGGAGCAAUCCGCUUUGAGAUGGCCUCGCGUCCGAUUAGCUAGUUGGUGAGGUAACGGCCCACCAAGGCGACGAUCGGUAGCCGGACUGAGAGGUUGAACGGCCACAGUGGGACUGAGACACGGCCCAGACUCCUACGGGAGGCAGCAGUGGGGAAUAUUGCACAAUGGGGGAAACCCUGAUGCAGCGACGCCGCGUGGAGGAAGAAGGUCUUCGGAUUGUAAACGCCUGUUGUUGAGGAAGAUAAUGACGGUACUCAACAAGGAAGUGACGGCUAACUACGUG